rnacentral:rRNA from 1 species
GACGAACGCUGGCGGCGUGCUUAACACAUGCAAGUCGAACGGAAAGGCCCUGCUUUUGUGGGGUGCUCGAGUGGCGAACGGGUGAGUAACACGUGAGUAACCUGCCCUUGACUUUGGGAUAACUUCAGGAAACUGGGGCUAAUACCGGAUAGGAGCUCCUGCUGCAUGGUGGGGGUUGGAAAGUUUCGGCGGUUGGGGAUGGACUCGCGGCUUAUCAGCUUGUUGGUGGGGUAGUGGCUUACCAAGGCUUUGACGGGUAGCCGGCCUGAGAGGGUGACCGGCCACAUUGGGACUGAGAUACGGCCGAGACUCCUACGGGAGGCAGCAGUGGGGAAUAUUGCACAAUGGGCGGAAGCCUGAUGCAGCAACGCCGCGUGCGGGAUGACGGCCUUCGGGUUGUAAACCGCUUUCGCCUGUGACGAAGCGUGUGUGACGGUAAUGGGUAAAGAAGCACCGGCUAACUACGUG